rnacentral:rRNA from 1 species
UAGUCCACGCCGUAAACGAUGGAUACUAGCUGUUCGGACUUCGGUCUGAGUGGCCAAGCGAAAGUGAUAAGUAUCCCACCUGGGGAGUACGUUCGCAAGAAUGAAACUCAAAGGAAUUGACGGGGGCCCGCACAAGCGGUGGAGCAUGUGGUUUAAUUCGAUGAUACGCGAGGAACCUUACCAGGGCUUAAAUGUAGAUUGCAUAGAGUGGAGACAUUCUUUUCUUCGGACUAGUUACAAGGUGCUGCAUGGUUGUCGUCAGCUCGUGCCGUGAGGUGUCGGGUUAAGUCCCAUAACGAGCGCAACCCCUAUCGUUAGUUACCAUCAGGUCAUGCUGGGGACUCUAGCGAGACUGCCGGUGUAAACCGCGAGGAAGGUGGGGAUGACGUCAAAUCAGCACGGCCCUUACGUCCAGGGCCACACACGUGUUACAAUGGCCGGUACAGAGGACAGCUACCUAGCAAUAGGAUGCCAAUCCCAGAAAGCACGUCCCAGUUCGGAUUGGAGUCUGCAA